CNCCCUACGGGGGAAAAAUUUAUUGCUAUUAGAUGAGCCUAUAUUAGAUUAGUUAGUUGGUGAGGUAAAGGCUUACCAAGACAAUGAUCUAUAGCUGAUCUGAGAGGAUGAUCAGCCACACUGGAACUGAGAUACGGUCCAGACUCCUACGGGAGGCAGCAGUGGGGAAUAUUGGACAAUGGGCGAAAGCCUGAUCCAGCCAUGCCGCAUGAGUGAAGAAGGCCUUCGGGUUGUAAAGCUCUUUUAGUGAGGAAGAUAAUGACGGUACUCACAGAAGAAGUCCUGGCUAACUCCGUGCCAGCAGCCGCGGUAAUACGGAGAGGGCUAGCGUUAUUCGGAAUCAUUGGGCGUAAAGGGCGCGUAGGCGGGUUAGUAAGUUAAAAGUGAAAUCCCAAGGCUCAACCUUGGAACUGCUUUUAAAACUGCUAGUCUAGAGAUUGAAAGAGGAUAGAGGAAUUCCUAGUGUAGAGAUGAAAUUCGUAAAUAUUAGGAGGAACACCAGUGGCGAAGGCGUCUAUCUGGUUCAAAUCUGACGCUGAGGCGCGAAGGCGUGGGGAGCAAACAGGAUUAGAUACCCUG
rnacentral:rRNA from 1 species